GGGGAUUUAGCUCAGUGAUAGAGCGCUUGCCCAGCAAGCAAGUGCAAGGCCCUGGGUUCGGUACCUAGCUCCA
rnacentral:tRNA from 1 species